ACCAGGAACAUACUGCAACAA
rnacentral:miRNA from 1 species